rnacentral:rRNA from 1 species
AACGAACGUUAGCGGCGCGCUUAACACAUGCAAGUCGAACGAGAAAGGGCUUCGGCCCCGGUAAAGUGGCGCACGGGUGAGUAACACGUGGGUAACCUUCCCUUGAGCGGGGGAUAACAUUCCGAAAGGAGUGCUAAUACCGCAUAAGACCACGGCUUCGAAAGGAGCUGAGGUAAAAGCAGGCCUCUGUACACAAGCUUGCACUCAAGGAUGGGCCCGCGGCCCAUCAGCUAGUUGGUAGGGUAACGGCCUACCAAGGCAAAGACGGGUAGCUGGUCUGAGAGGAUGAUCAGCCACACUGGAACUGAGACACGGUCCAGACUCCUACGGGAGGCAGCAGUGGGGAAUCUUGCGCAAUGGACGAAAGUCUGACGCAGCGACGCCGCGUGGGUGAUGAAGGCCUUCGGGUUGUAAAGCCCUGUGGGUGGAGACGAAUAAGUGUUGGCUAAUACCCAGCAUGAUGACGGUAUCCACUUAGCAAGCACCGGCUAACUCUGUGCCAGCAGCCGCGGUAAUAC